rnacentral:rRNA from 1 species
UACGGAGGGUGCGAGCGUUAAUCGGAAUUACUGGGCGUAAAGCGCGCGUAGGCGGUUUGUUAAGUCAGCUGUGAAAGCCCCGGGCUCAACCUUGGAACUGCAGUUGAUACUGACCGACUGGAGUACGAGAGAGGGAGGUAGAAUUCCAUGUGUAGCGGUGAAAUGCGUAGAGAUCGGGAGGAACACCGGUGGCGAAGGCGGGUCUCUGGGCAAUUCCUGACGCUGAGGCGCGAAAGCGUGGGGAGCAAACGGG